CUACUGGAAACGGUAGCUAAUACCGCAUAACGUCGCAAGACCAAAGUGGGGGACCUUCGGGCCUCAUGCCAUCAGAUGUGCCCAGAUGGGAUUAGCUAGUAGGUGGGGUAACGGCUCACCUAGGCGACGAUCCCUAGCUGGUCUGAGAGGAUGACCAGCCACACUGGAACUGAGACACGGUCCAGACUCCUACGGGAGGCAGCAGUGGGGAAUAUUGCACAAUGGGCGCAAGCCUGAUGCAGCCAUGCCGCGUGUGUGAAGAAGGCCUUCGGGUUGUAAAGCACUUUCAGCGGGGAGGAAGGCGAUAAGGUUAAUAACCUUGUCGAUUGACGUUACCCGCAGAAGAAGCACCGGCUAACUCCGUGCCAGCAGCCGCGGUAAUACGGAGGGUGCAAGCGUUAAUCGGAAUUACUGGGCGUAAAGCGCACGCAGGCGGUCUGUCAAGUCGGAUGUGAAAUCCCCGGGCUCAACCUGGGAACUGCAUUCGAAACUGGCAGGCUAGAGUCUUGUAGAGGGGGGUAGAAUUCCAGGUGUAGCGGUGAAAUGCGUAGAGAUCUGGAGGAAUACCGGUGGCGAAGGCGGCCCCCUGGACAAAGACUGACGCUCAGGUGCGAAAGCGUGGGGAGCAAACAGGAUUAGAUACCCUGGUAGUCCACGCCGUAAACGAUGUCGAUUUGGAGGUUGUGCCCUUGAGGCGUGGCUUCCGGAGCUAACGCGUUAAAUCGACCGCCUGGGGAGUACGGCCGCAAGGUUAAAACUCAAAUGAAUUGACGGGGGCCCGCACAAGCGGUGGAGCAUGUGGUUUAAUUCGAUGCAACGCGAAGAACCUUACCUGGUCUUGACAUCCACAGAACUUUCCAGAGAUGGAUUGGUGCCUUCGGGAACUGUGAGACAGGUGCUGCAUGGCUGUCGUCAGCUCGUGUUGUGAAAUGUUGGGUUAAGUCCCGCAACGAGCGCAACCCUUAUCCUUUGUUGCCAGC
rnacentral:rRNA from 1 species